rnacentral:rRNA from 1 species
GCGGUCGAUCGUUUCCCUCAGGAUAUUUUUGGUAAGCAGAACUACCCUGUUGAGCUUGACUCUAGUUUGACAUUGUGAAGAGACAUAGAGGGUGUAGAAUAAGUGGGAGCUUCGGCGCCAGUGAAAUACCACUACCUUUAUAGUUUCUUUACUAUUGUCAGGUGGGGAGUAAAGUUACCACAGGGAUAAUUGUGGCAGUCUUGCUGACCGUCGUGAGACAGGUUAG